CCUAAAUUGGGUACCAAGCGGUCUGAAAGGGCUUUUAAUUUCUGAUUGAAGAAAUUAAGUUUGGGAGUGAUGACGUAUAACCACCAUAGGGGCUAGUGAAAAGAAGAGAAAACGACAUCGAGCUGAACGCUCCUAUCAUCACGGUGUCUCAUUAAGUUAAAAACGACAUAACUUGCAUUAGAAGAAGACAGAAAAGGUCGGAAGAAGUCACGGUUAAACACAGAAACCAACCAUAAGCGUGAGUAUACCGCAUACCGAACCGUGUGUAUGAGCAUUAAUGUCAGUAGCUACGAAGAGCUAUUAAGAGAGUUAGCCCAUGCAUUGUUAAAAUACCUCCACCAGCAGCAUUGCCUCAGAUAGCACCCUCAUUAAGUGUGAUGGCUUGAGAAAACACGAGUUACAAUUACAGAAAUAAUUGUGAGCGAUAUCGAUCAGUUUGAUUUUCUAAAUUGACAUAGGCCUAUCGAAACUAAUCUUCGAGGCCCAUUCGUGUUAGAUCGAGGGGAGAGAGGCCUUGGCGGGCCCGAGGGCCAACACGCCACGAGCACGACUUUACCUUAUUUCAAUCGAGCCAAUGUGGUAGAUUUAUCUUUUACCCUUCGAUAAAUAUUUAAUUGACAUGUUAUCCAAACUUUAUUACUGCUAACUAUAGUUCAUGACUUACCUCUUCUACUUGGCGUCUAAGGGCGAAUGACAUCUUAGGAACUUUAACAGAUAGUUCAUUGAUACGAGACAUUUUGACUUACCCAGUUUCCCGAUAACAUCAUUGAACGCAUUCUGAAGUCACAUUGAUGUUUGUGUGUGUGUGUGUGUGUGUGUGUGUGUGUGUGUGUGUGUGUGUGUGUGUGUGUGUGUGUGUGUGUGUGUGUGUGUGUGUGUGUGUGUGCGUGUGCGUGUGCGUGUGUGUGUGCGCGCGCGCCCGUGCGUUGGAUGUUAUAUUAUCAUGGAGCGUCACUGCGUCAGCAAUCAAAAAAAUCUUAUUAAGUGUGGUUGCAUGAAGUAAGUAUAAAGCUAUAUCUUCUUGGUUUAUGCAUGCUUUUUUAAGGCCCCUUCACAUAAAUAUGAAGCAACAUAUACUCAACAUUUUAAUACAAAGCCUUGUUGCAGGAGACCCCAGAUCUUGGAACAAAAAGAUCGCAAAAAAUAUAUAUUUUGCAUCAUUGCGUCUGGUAGAAAAUUGAACCAGCUCCAUAGGUGUGUGUGAUGCUUAAACUACCCUGAGUUGGACAUAAGUUAAUCAUAGAUGCAUAUUAAUGCAUAUGUUCACAUGCAUGUGCAACACUGAACAGUAUAAUAAUCAACCUUUUCACAUUCAAUUAUCAUAAAUAUUUGUUUUCCCUAAAACUACUUCAGUUGAAUGCAUGACAAUGUUAGGAUUUUGCAGCAGGUGGCAGUCUAGGACCAAAACCCAACCGGUCAAACCCACCAGACUUCGGGGCCCUGAUUUGAACCCUGUAGUGCCACCCACAGGCCAAAGCUGGGCCUACAUUAGUGCUCUAAAGUUUAAAACAUUGCCUGUUUGUUAUUUUUCCUUUCUGCUCUAUUUCUUUUCCAUGCUGAGAACAACACACUAUUCAGUCAUGCAUUUGUGCUUCUAUGUCGAUUUUAAAAAACUUGUCAGAGACUGAUGCUUAGUGUCCUCUGGCCUAUUGUUGGUCUGUUGGUUUACGGCCUGAUAACACAUGCUCAUUGAAUCAGGGACUUGCGCCGGGUGCAGGUGAAGAAGAUUUGUUCUAAGCCACAAGUGAAUGUCCUCAAAUGGAAUAGAUCAUAUUCAUAACAACAACAGUCAAUCCAUAAUAAUGUAGUUUGCACAAAAUAAAGGAUAUGUCCAGUCGUUUAGCUUUUUGGACAUCUUGCCCUUCGGACCUUCACGCAGUCUCCUGUGCUAAAUUUAAAGUGGCCCGAGCCUUAAAAGGUUGUGACGGUGUCUUGGACAUUCUGCCGAGUGGCAGCAUUAUUUUUGUUCUGUGGACUGUCGUCCUGUCCACUGCCCUGCACCCGAGCUCCUUUACCCCAAUCUGGACUGGUUUUAGUUUCCUUUUGGACUAGUACCUCGCAAUUUCUCUUGCUUUUCUUCAACUGAUUUAUUGUUUUGUUGGUGUGGAGCAGAGCCCCCCACCCCCCAUCCCCCCGAGGAUGUCCGGAUCAGUGCAUCAGUUGGAGACGCGCCAACGCCAGCAGCACUUUCAGGA